rnacentral:rRNA from 1 species
UACAGAGGUCCCAAGCGUUGUUCGGAUUCACUGGGCGUAAAGGGUGCGUAGGCGGUCGGGUAAGUCUGACGUGAAAUCUUCAAGCUCAACUUGGAAACUGCGUCGGAUACUAUUCGGCUAGAGGAAUGGAGGGGAGACUGGAAUACUUGGUGUAGCAGUGAAAUGCGUAGAUAUCAAGUGGAACACCAGUGGCGAAGGCGGGUCUCUGGACAGUUCCUGACGCCGAGGCACGAAGGUCAGGGGAGCAAACGGG